CGGCGUGCCUAAUACAUGCAAGUCGAACGAGUUCUGAUUAUUGAAAGGUGCUUGCAUCUUGAUUUAAUUUUGAACGAGUGGCGGACGGGUGAGUAACACGUGGGUAACCUGCCCUUAAGUGGGGGAUAACAUUUGGAAACAGAUGCUAAUACCGCAUAAAUCCAAGAACCGCAUGGUUCUUGGCUGAAAGAUGGCGUAAGCUAUCGCUUUUGGAUGGACCCGCGGCGUAUUAGCUAGUUGGUGAGGUAACGGCUCACCAAGGCAAUGAUACGUAGCCGAACUGAGAGGUUGAUCGGCCACAUUGGGACUGAGACACGGCCCAAACUCCUACGGGAGGCAGCAGUAGGGAAUCUUCCACAAUGGACGCAAGUCUGAUGGAGCAACGCCGCGUGAGUGAAGAAGGCUUUCGGGUCGUAAAACUCUGUUGUUGGAGAAGAAUGGUCGGCAGAGUAACUGUUGUCGGCGUGACGGUAUCCAACCAGAAAGCCACGGCUAACUACGUGCCAGCAGCCGCGGUAAUACGUAGGUGGCAAGCGUUAUCCGGAUUUAUUGGGCGUAAAGCGAGCGCAGGCGGUUUUUUAAGUCUGAUGUGAAAGCCCUCGGCUUAACCGAGGAAGUGCAUCGGAAACUGGGAAACUUGAGUGCAGAAGAGGACAGUGGAACUCCAUGUGUAGCGGUGAAAUGCGUAGAUAUAUGGAAGAACACCAGUGGCGAAGGCGGCUGUCUGGUCUGUAACUGACGCUGAGGCUCGAAAGCAUGGGUAGCGAACAGGAUUAGAUACCCUGGUAGUCCAUGCCGUAAACGAUGAAUGCUAGGUGUUGGAGGGUUUCCGCCCUUCAGUGCCGCAGCUAACGCAUUAAGCAUUCCGCCUGGGGAGUACGACCGCAAGGUUGAAACUCAAAGGAAUUGACGGGGGCCCGCACAAGCGGUGGAGCAUGUGGUUUAAUUCGAAGCAACGCGAAGAACCUUACCAGGUCUUGACAUCUUUUGAUCACCUGAGAGAUCAGGUUUCCCCUUCGGGGGCAAAAUGACAGGUGGUGCAUGGUUGUCGUCAGCUCGUGUCGUGAGAUGUUGGGUUAAGUCCCGCAACGAGCGCAACCCUUAUGACUAGUUGCCAGCGUUUAGUUGGGCACUCUAGUAAGACUGCCGGUGACAAACCGGAGGAAGGUGGGGAUGACGUCAAAUCAUCAUGCCCCUUAUGACCUGGGCUACACACGUGCUACAAUGGAUGGUACAACGAGUUGCGAGACCGCGAGGUCAAGCUAAUCUCUUAAAGCCAUUCUCAGUUCGGACUGUAGGCUGCAACUCGCCUACACGAAGUCGGAAUCGCUAGUAAUCGCGGAUCAGCACGCCGCGGUGAAUACGUUCCCGGGCCUUGUACACACCGCCCGUCACACCAUGAGAGUUUGUAACACCCGAAGCCGGUGGCGUAACCCUUUUAGGGAGCGAGCCGUCUAAGGUGGGACAAAUGAUUAGGGUG
rnacentral:rRNA from 1 species